CGGGGCGUAGCGCAGUCUGGCUAGCGCGCUUGGUUCGGGUCCAAGAGGUCGGAGGUUCGAAUCCUCUCGCCCCGA
rnacentral:tRNA from 1 species